AGCUGCUGUCCCCGGAGGGUGUAAACCGGGCUGGGGAGAGGGUCGAUUGAGAGGGUGCUGCCAUCCUGUGGCCAAAACUCGGUACUGCAGGCGGGGGGUCAGGCGCUCAGUGGCGCCGGGAGCCGCUCGCUGCUGCCAUCCUGUGACCAAAACUUAGGACUGCAGUGGGUCACUCGGUGUCUGCAGGGUUUGGGGUUGUUGACCAUUAGGUUUGAGAGAGCUACAGCCUUGCUGUGUGCUGACAAGAGCUUGGGGCUUUACACCGUGCAAGAGCCAGGAGACACCAAGCCAGACAAGGGCUUGAGGGUGGCGAGAGAGGACAAAGGCAUCAGCUAAGGAGGGGAGCUCAGUGGAAUGGCAGAAGGUGGCAUCUGCAGGAGCAAGAUGUGUCAUUACUGGAGGAGAGAAGACCACAGCACAGGCAUUUCAGCUGUGCUAAGAAGCAGCAUUUUCUCCUCCCCAUUUCCUUCGUUGUUCCCCUUGCAGAGUCAUUUCCGACAGCUCUGCUCUCUUGGGGCUCUUGGUGGGGAUGUGUGGGUUUCUGAGUCUCUCUCACGCACGCAGGAAGCUUGGUCUCAGCAUGCUCCUUGGCUACCUCAUCCUUGCUGCCUUCCUGAGAAAACCACUGGGAACAAUGGGACAGACCCAGCAAGAAGGAGAAGUCAUAGUAAAGGAGAAAGAUGCCUUUCAGACCACCUGCACCUACCAGAGUGCCAACUUUGAUGCCUUGGUUUGGUACCAGCAGAAGAAAGACCAAGCUCCACAGCUCAUCUCAUAUCAGGCAGUUGCUGGCCUCAAGCAGAGUGGCCGUUUCACCACGCUGCUGAACACCACAGGGAAAUACAGCCUCCUGCAGCUGCAGGAGGUCGAGCUCUCCGACAGUGCCUUGUACCUCUGUGCUGGGCGAGACACGCUGGUGCAGGGAGCUGCCUCAGCUGUGCAAUAACACAGGGAGGGAGAGUGAGAGUUGUGAGGAUCUAUGAUCAUCUUCAGCUCCUAAACAGGCAGUGGUGUUGUAGUGAUGAGCUCCUCUGGCAGCAAGGGACUGUGUGUCUGGGACAUGCCAGACUUGCAGCAGAAUACAGUGGGAAAAUUUUGUUACCCCUUCAGGCAGAUUAAACACAUCCUGGUGCUUAAAUUGUAAACAAUAUAUAAAUAAAAAAUUAAUGUAUUG